CAGCAGCCGCGGUAACACGGAGGGUGCAAGCGUUAUCCGGAUUUAUUGGGUUUAAAGGGUCCGUAGGCGGAUCUGUAAGUCAGUGGUGAAAUCUCACAGCUUAACUGUGAAACUGCCAUUGAUACUGCAGGUCUUGAGUAAAUUUGAAGUGGCUGGAAUAAGUAGUGUAGCGGUGAAAUGCAUAGAUAUUACUUAGAACACCAAUUGCGAAGGCAGGUCACUAAGAUUUAACUGACGCUGAUGGACGAAAGCGUGGGGAGCGAACAGGAUUAGAUACCCCGGUAGUCCCUGUCUCUUAUAU
rnacentral:rRNA from 1 species